rnacentral:lncRNA from 1 species
GAGGUAGCCUGCCAAGGACAGAACUGAAAUUCUGGGAAAAGCCCUGGGCUUGGUUGGAGGUGGAGUUCUUUUCUCCAGAAUGAUGCCUUCUGGUUGGUGGAACUGGGGCACGCCCAGGCUGUCAUUCUCUAGGACCACUGAGUACAGAUCCCAAAAACCUCUCAGGGAUGCCAGGGAGUGGAGCAGGGGUUAUGUAUUUUUUUUGCAAGUCACUCUUUUGGAGCACACAAGAAAAUGUUUUUUCUCUGUUAAAUGUAAUGCCAUUUCUUGGGCAGGACUCACCCUCCACACCCAAGAUGUGUCAAAUUCAUAGGAACUCAGCAUUAACAUUUUUCCCCUUCUGCCAACUGUCACAGAGGCAGGAGGCCUGGGAAGGAAUGGGGAACCUGCACAUGCCUUAUCCAGGGGUAAAAGCACUUGGCCGGGAGGAACUUGGCUUUAUCAGCCACAACUCCCUUGUGGGACUAAGUCUAAAGACUAGAUGAAUGGCCAGGUAGUUUUUUUUUUAGAUCCAGCCAACUCCAGAGUGACCCAUUUCUACUGCUCAUCUGAGGUCAGAGUUGCAAAAGAAAGAAACCCCUACUUCUGUGAGUUCAGUGGUGAGAUAGGUCUAUGGAAUCUACACUGAGUUUAAUUUCAACUGGGGAGAUCCUGGAGUCAAUGAUGCAAAGACAUGGAAACUGAAUGAAAGGGGUGGGGCAGUCACCCAGCUUCCUAUUCCUCAC